AAAACAUCACUAGGAGAAGUUCACUCUUAGCAGUGCCUGCCCAGUGCAAAAUUGUAAACGGCCGCCCUAGCGUGAGGGUGCCAAGGUAGCGAAAUUCCUUGCCUUUUAAUUGUAGGCCUGCAUGAAUGGAUUGACGAGGGUCAAGCUGUCUCUUGCCUUGAAURACGAAAUUGGACUAAAGGUGAAGAUACCUUUAUAGAAAAGUUAGACAAGAAGACCCCGUGCAGCUUUAAAAAAUUUACUUAUUAAGAGUUGUAAGAUUUUUAGGUGGGGCGCCUAGGAAGUAAAAYUUAACCUUCUUAUUUGUUAAGAAAGGCUCUCWGGCRUAGACCCGGCAAGUCCGAUCAUGGGAGAAGUUACGCCGGGGAUAACAGGCUUAUCCAUUAGUAGAGCUCGUAUUGGCUAAUGGGAUUGGCACCUCGAUGUUGAAUUAAGGAUGAUAGCUCUAAGGCGUAGAAGCUUAGAAGUGG
rnacentral:rRNA from 1 species